GUGCGGAUGGCGCAGUGGUCAGCGCAUCUGCCUAGUGAGUAGUAGACCCGGGUUAAAAUCCCGGUCCGCCACA